GGCUCAGGAUGAACGCUAGCUACAGGCUUAACACAUGCAAGUCGAGGGGAAACGAUAUUGGAAGCUUGCUUCUGAUAGGCGUCGACCGGCGCACGGGUGAGUAACGCGUAUCCAACCUGCCCAUCACUUGGGGAUAACCUUGUGAAAGUAAGACUAAUACCCAAUGACGUCUCUAGAAGACAUCUGAAAGAGAUUAAAGAUUUAUCGGUGAUGGAUGGGGAUGCGUCUGAUUAGCUUGUUGGCGGGGUAACGGCCCACCAAGGCGACGAUCAGUAGGGGUUCUGAGAGGAAGGUCCCCCACAUUGGAACUGAGACACGGUCCAAACUCCUACGGGAGGCAGCAGUGAGGAAUAUUGGUCAAUGGACGAGAGUCUGAACCAGCCAAGUAGCGUGCAGGAUGACGGCCCUAUGGGUUGUAAACUGCUUUUAUAAGGGAAUAAAGUGAGUCUCGUGAGACUUUUUGCAUGUACCUUAUGAAUAAGGACCGGCUAAUUCCGUG
rnacentral:rRNA from 1 species